rnacentral:rRNA from 1 species
CCUACGGGUGGCAGCAGUAGGGAAUCUUCCACAAUGGACGAAAGUCUGAUGGAGCAACGCCGCGUGAGUGAAGAAGGUUUUCGGCUCGUAAAGCUCUGUUGGUAGGGAAGAAAAUUAGAGGUAGUAACUGGCCGUUAUUUGACGGUAAUUUCUUAGAAAGUCACGGCUAACUACGUGCCAGCAGCCGCGGUAAUACAUAGGUGGCAAGCGUUAUCCGGAAUUAUUGGGCGUAAAGCGAGUGCAGGCGGUUCAGUAAGUCUGAUGUGAAAGCCUGGGGCUCAACCGGAGAAUUGCAUUAGAAACUGUUGAACUUGAGUGCAGAAGAGGAGAGUGGAACUCCAUGUGUAGCGGUGGAAUGCGUAGAUAUAUGGAAGAACACCAGUGGCGAAGGCGGCUCUCUGGUCUGAAACUGACGCUGAGGCUCGAAAGCAUGGGUAGCGAACAGGAUUAGAUACCCGGGUAGUC